rnacentral:rRNA from 1 species
CGAGCACGCGCGUGUGGCAUAUCAAUAAGCGGAGGAAAAGAAACUAACAAGGAUUCCCUUAGUAACGGCGAGUGAAGCGGGAAGAGCUCAAAUUUGAAAUCUCCAAGGUUCUACCUUGACGAAUUGUAGUUUAUAGAAGUGUUUUCUGUUAGUGGAGUGGCAAAAGUUCUUUGGAAUAGGACAUCAUAGAGGGUGAGAAUCCCGUAUUUGGUCAUUCCUCCUAGCGUUGUGAUACACUUUCAACGAGUCGGAUUGUUUGGGAAUGCAGUCCAAAAUGGGUGGUAAAUUUCAUCUAAAGCUAAAUAUUGACGAGAGACCGAUAGCGAACAAGUACCGUGAGGGAAAGAUGAAAAGAACUUUGAAAAGAGAGUUAAACAGUACGUGAAAUUGUCAAAAGGGAAGCGUUUGACACCAGUGUUGUUUUUCCGAAAAUCAAUUACGAAUGUUUUAGUUUUUGAGGAGUUAUGACUUCAUCGGCUUGCUCCUUUCUUUAUGAAACUUUCUUAAUGCACUUUUCGGUUAACAAGUCAACAUCAAUUUCUUUUAUUGUAAAAGGGUAUGAGGAAGGUGGCUUUCUUUUCGGAGAAAGUGUUUAUAGCCUUGUGCCUCUACAAUCGGAGAGAUUGAGGUCUGCAGCGUAGAUCCUUCGGGGUUAGAUACAUUUGUGCUAAGUUAUAGCUUUUCAUAGACAACUUGUUGACUAUGUUUAGUCUUGUAGCUUACUCGCUUACUGCUAUUUUACCUACGCUUAGGAUGUUGAUGUGAUACUGCGAGCA